GCUAGUCUAAUUAGGCAUAAAGACCCUUAAGUCUAACCCCCCGAAACUAAGUGAGCUAAUUUAGGGCCGCUUAAUGAGCCAACCCGUCUAUGUAGCAAAAUAGUGGGAAGACCCUAAAAUAGAGGUGACAGACCUAACGAACUUAGUCAUAGCUGGUUUCUCAAGAAAAGAAUCUUAGUUCCGCCUAAAGCAACAUUAAUCCAAAUAAAUAACACAUACCCUUUAGAGUAAUUCAAAUAAGGUACAGCCUAUUUGAUACAGGAUCCAACCUUUAUUUAAGGGUAAUAUCAGACUCCAACCCUUCUAAGUAGGCCUAAUAGCAGCCACCUUUAAAAAAGCGUCAAAGCUUACCAAUGUAAGUCUAAAUUCAUUAACUACCAUUGACCCCUAUUACUGUAUUGAGAACUUCUAUAAUUUUAUAGAAAAUAUUAUGCUAAAACUAGUAACAAGAGGAACAACCUCUCUUAAUGCAAACUUAAGCCAGAAAGAAUACCUCACUGGCAAUUAACAGACCUAAACAAAAGUAAAAACUACUCUAGAAAACCUUACUUAAACCACUGUUAACCUAACACUAGAGCAUUUCCAGAAAGAUUAAAAGAAAAAGAAGGAACUCGGCAAAUAUUAGUUCCGCCUGUUUACCAAAAACAUCGCCUCUUGCCCCAUAAGAGGUCCAGCCUGCCCAGUGACCUAGUUCAACGGCCGCGGUAUCCUAACCGUGCGAAGGUAGCGUAAUCACUUGUCUUAUAAAUAAAGACUAGUAUGAAAGGCACCACGAGAACUAAACUGUCUCCUUUUUCUAAUCCGUGAACCUAAUAUUUCCGUGAAGAAACGGAAAUUUCUUAAUAAGACGAGAAGACCCUAUGGAGCUUUAAACAUCAUAAUCACUGCUAAUAAUUAAACUACCCAGGUCUCCUCACCCCCCUCGCAAAAUGAUUAUAUGUUUUUGGUUGGGGUGACCGCGGAGAAAACACAUCCUCCGCGAUGAAAGGACCCACCUAAACAACAAGCUACAGCUUUAUGUAUCAACAAAUUGACACCAUUGACCCAAUAUAUUGAUUAACGAACCAAGUUACCCUAGGGAUAACAGCGCAAUCCACUUCAAGAGCUCCUAUCGACAAGUGGGCUUACGACCUCGAUGUUGGAUCAGGGUAUCCUAGUGGUGCAGCAGCUACUAAGGGCUCGUUUGUUCAACGAUU
rnacentral:rRNA from 1 species